CAUAUAACCAAGCGAUAAUGGACUGCCAGGUUAUUCUAAAAUAUCACGGAUGCAGUAAAGGACAAAUUAGAUGGAAAUGAAGAUACUGCAUGACAUCUUUCUGUGGCUCUUGAAAACUCACUCACGGAGAAAAUACUGGGUCAUUAAAACACAAAGUGGUUGUGUUAACUGAAGACGAAAUAUCCAAUCUGAUUGAUACGAGUAGAAUAGUCGAUGGAAAUCAGGUAAGAUAUUAAUCAUAUAUUUGAAAAUAUUAUAAAUGCAAUAUUACAAGAUAACGCUUGUGUAGGAAACAUGUGAUGCAUACAAGGUACAUAUAGGUCACGCAUGGUUCAUAACUGACUUGUAAUUUAAUAAUGUGUACGACAGUUAGUUCCGUUAUAUUUAUAAAAUUGGGCGAGCAACCCCAAAGAGACAUAAUACGUUGAUGUAGCAAAACUUGAAAUCAUUCAGUCAAAACUGCAUAGUCUAUAUUGAAUUAACAGUCAAUUAGUCUUUUUAAUGGAAUAUUUUAACGUUUGUCCAUUUAUGUUUAAAAUCAGCAAAGACCCAUACAUACCAUAUUGGUUCACUCAUAGGGUCUAUUCAACGAUUUUAUCUUUUCAUUUAUAUGUUUUUUAAUGUAGUGCAACGCCAAUUUUUGCUGCACUAGAAUACAUUAAAUUUUAGGAGACAGCUGUAAACCACCGCCGAGUACGAAAUUUACUAGCUGCGUUGAGCUAUGUUCUGCUCUUUAGUUAGUUGUAGUCUCUUUAAAACAAUCACAAUUUCCAGUAUCAAUUUUCAUAACUACAAAAAUUGAUUCUUACCUACAAAGCUUCACAAUAUCUGUAAUGUCUUUACAAACAAAACACUCCAUGCUUCAAGUCUGUGAUAGGAUAGAGUAUGUGUAUAUAAAAUAAUAGGUCAUUUGAAGUCAUAUGAGGUUUUUUUUAAUUUUGUUGUUAUCGAAUUUAUUGAACCAAUACAUGCAUAUAUACUAAACGAAGUCUUUCAUGUAUUUUGUCAGAAUUAGAAAAAAAUAGUUGAUAAACAAUUCACUUGAACGUGAGUAACUCCACCAACCUCCUUGAUUACGUAUGCAUGCGACCUUCUAUUUAUCACUAAGGAGUGUUAACGUUCAGUUAUUUAAAAGACAAACAUGUCAACAUUAUAUAUGAAACUAUGAUAAGUAACCCAUUUAUUUGACUGGUUUGAUCCAUAAAAAGGUCAUUAUUUUACAGGUUAUAACUAUGAUUUAUAUCGGGUUAUGUCACCUUUGGCAGUCUUCAAAUGUCACCUCGAUUUGUAAUUGGAUGGCGUCUAGGCUGAAAUACACAUCAAAUGUGGAUUCCUAUCAUCGAGCCAAUGCAUUGCAAAUUGUUUGUUUUAGAUUAUUUUUUUUUAUGAAUUUUAAAUGUUAUGAAUCAAAUUUGAGUUUUGAUUGAAAUCAGUGAACACAAAUUUGCCGCUAAAUACCAUUUUGAAGAAGAAAGAAUAAAAAAGACACAAAUAGUGUUUUUUUUUCUUACGAUAAAGGAUAACAUCUUUUGCCCACAUCGUCCUAUUUUCGUUUUCAGUAGACUUCAAUAGCUCAUAAAAUUGUCAUUGCCAACAUUCAAGUAGAUUCUAGAUUUUAUCUUACAAUAUAAGACCCAAAAAUGCCAAUGCUAAUUAUCAUGUAAAAGUCCGAUUCAACCAUUCCGUGCAAUUGUUAACAAUCAAAUGUCUCCAAAAUAAGUUUCAUAGCUUGAUUUUGAGUAUCAAUUUAAAAUUAAGGAAUUUGGUCAAUUUCACAAGACAGCAUUCUUAAUGUGCUAAGUCUUUUCAAAAGCAAACGAGUAUAUCUAUUGAGCGACGUCAGACCGACGUUUUUUUUUUUCUUUAGCAAAUUAUUACAUGUAUAAAAUUUUUAAGUGAAUCUUAGUUUUAUAUUUUAAUCUCAUAAUAAUAUAAAUGCAUGUGCACGUUAUUGUAGGAAAGAGAAAAGAGACUUAAA
rnacentral:lncRNA from 1 species